ACGCUGGCGGCGUGCCUAAUACAUGCAAGUCGAGCGAACAGAAGCAGCAGAAUUACUUCGGUAAGGACGCUAUGGAAGUUAGCGGCGGAUGGGUGAGUAACACGUGGGUAACCUACCCUUAAGACUGGGAUACCACUUGGAAACAGGUGCUAAUACCGGAUAGGAGUAUGAGCUGCAUGGCUUAUACUUUAAAGGCGGCGAAAGCUGUCACUAAAGGAUGGACCCGCGGUGCAUUAGCUAGUUGGUAAGGUAACGGCUUACCAAGGCGACGAUGCAUAGCCGAGUUGAGAGACUGAUCGGCCACAUUGGGACUGAGACACGGCCCAAACUCCUACGGGAGGCAGCAGUAGGGAAUCUUCCACAAUGGACGCAAGUCUGAUGGAGCAACGCCGCGUGAGUGAAGAAGGUUUUCGGAUCGUAAAGCUCUGUUGUUGGUGAAGAAGGAUAUAGGUAGUAACUGGCCUAUAUUUGACGGUAAUCAACCAGAAAGUCACGGCUAACUACGUGCCAGCAGCCGCGGUAAUACGUAGGUGGCAAGCGUUGUCCGGAUUUAUUGGGCGUAAAGCGAGCGCAGGCGGAGAAAUAAGUCUGAUGUGAAAGCCCACGGCUCAACCGUGGAACUGCAUCGGAAACUGUUUUUCUUGAGUGCAGAAGAGGAGAGUGGAACUCCAUGUGUAGCGGUGGAAUGCGUAGAUAUAUGGAAGAACACCAGUGGCGAAGGCGGCUCUCUGGUCUGCAACUGACGCUGAGGCUCGAAAGCAUGGGUAGCGAACAGGAUUAGAUACCCUGGUAGUCCAUGCCGUAAACGAUGAGUGCUAAGUGUUGGGAGGUUUCCGCCUCUCAGUGCUGCAGCUAACGCAUUAAGCACUCCGCCUGGGGAGUACGACCGCAAGGUUGAAA
rnacentral:rRNA from 1 species